rnacentral:rRNA from 1 species
GGCGGGCGGCAGGCUACCAUGCAAGUCGAGCGGAUGAAGGGAGCUUGCUCCUGGAUUCAGCGGCGGACGGGUGAGUAAUGCCUAGGAAUCUGCCUGGUAGUGGGGGAUAACGUCCGGAAACGGGCGCUAAUACCGCAUACGUCCUGAGGGAGAAAGUGGGGGAUCUUCGGACCUCACGCUAUCAGAUGAGCCUAGGUCGGAUUAGCUAGUUGGUGGGGUAAAGGCCUACCAAGGCGACGAUCCGUAACUGGUCUGAGAGGAUGAUCAGUCACACUGGAACUGAGACACGGUCCAGACUCCUACGGGAGGCAGCAGUGGGGAAUAUUGGACAAUGGGCGAAAGCCUGAUCCAGCCAUGCCGCGUGUGUGAAGAAGGUCUUCGGAUUGUAAAGCACUUUAAGUUGGGAGGAAGGGCAGUAAGUUAAUACCUUGCUGUUUUGACGUUACCAACAGAAUAAGCACCGGCUAACUUCGUGCCAGCAGCCGCGGUAAUACGAAGGGUGCAAGCGUUAAUCGGAAUUACUGGGCGUAAAGCGCGCGUAGGUGGUUCAGCAAGUUGGAUGUGAAAUCCCCGGGCUCAACCUGGGAACUGCAUCCAAAACUACUGAGCUAGAGUACGGUAGAGGGUGGUGGAAUUUCCUGUGUAGCGGUGAAAUGCGUAGAUAUAGGAAGGAACACCAGUGGCGAAGGCGACCACCUGGACUGAUACUGACACUGAGGUGCGAAAGCGUGGGGAGCAAACAGGAUUAGAUACCCUGGUAGUCCACGCCGUAAACGAUGUCGACUAGCCGUUGGGAUCCUUGAGAUCUUAGUGGCGCAGCUAACGCGAUAAGUCGACCGCCUGGGGAGUACGGCCGCAAGGUUAAACUCAAUGAAUUGACGGGGCCCGCACAGCGGGGGACAUGUGGUUAAUUCGAAGCACGCGAGAACCUUACUGGCUUGACUGUGAGACUUCCAGAGAUGGAUG